CUCUAAAAUUCAUCAAAAUUAAAAUGCUAAUAUUUUUCGUUUUUUAUUUAUAUUUUGGCACUGCAUCUUGUAUAUUUAUUCUGGAAGCUCGUUCUUGGGACGCAUAAUUUUACGAACCCGUUGAAUCCAUUUGAGCCUGAAUAAAUUUGAAAUCUCAUAAGCCAUUUGAUUGGCCAAGAAUAUCCAGAACAGACCGUACCGGUCGUUCCCCCGUCACAGUCAUUUAGAUUUGUACCCUAAAAUUGGGUCGACUGUUGAGUAUCUGAAGCGUUUGGCAGCGAAGAGGGCUGGGCAAUUGAAACGGCCUACCGACCUGGCCUACACCCAUACACGUGCAACUGGGAGGGUGGCUCACACGGAUAGGAAACCGCACGGUCCCUACACGGUAAUUAUCUAACAAGAUUACGCAAAAUGUUCCUCCCCGGCGAUGGAAACGGAAACAACGACAGCCGUUGCACUGGCAGGACUCGUGGUGGGAAAACGGGGGAAAAUGAGGUGUGGGAGUUGAGUUGGGGCUGGUGAAAGCCAGUUCGGCGAGGCAAGAAGGUGAGGCAACAACGCCCGCUGACAGUGGACAGAAUGCAAAAUGUUGUUAAGUCGCUGGCAAAACGCUCCGAUGCACAAGUGGACUGUUGGGUUGGUGGUUAUGGCUGCAAGGGCGAAGCGUCCCAACAGAACCGGAUUGCAGCAGGCGGAGGCGUUGGAUUACGGCUCUUAAUCCUACGAAUAUCUCGCUUUUGCAACUGGCUUAAAGAGAAAGUGUGUCAGUCUCAGGUGUCCUUGCAUCUGCUGACGAAUGCCGCUCCCAGUCGGUCGGAUCAGCCACAGAUGCUGAAAUCAUUUGCAAUCCCCAUCAUGAGUUGAAUGUUUGGCACGCAUCACCCAGGGGAAGUUGAAUUGGACUGCAACAAACUGAUGGCGCACUGCAGAAACCGUAGAAACAUAUCGGCCAUCUGAACUAAUUGCGUCUGAAUUAAUUCACAGGUGAUACAAAGGCAAUUAAAUGGGAAUUUCUUAACUGGUUUUGACAGAACUGGUUUGGAAGGAUCAAAAAAUGCUU
ensembl:ncRNA lncRNA:CR44397 long non-coding RNA:CR44397